rnacentral:rRNA from 1 species
UGCCAGACUCCUACGGGAGGCAGCAGUGGGGAAUAUUGCACAAUGGGGGAAACCCUGAUGCAGCAACGCCGCGUGAGUGAAGAAGUAUUUCGGUAUGUAAAGCUCUAUCAGCAGGGAAGAGAAUGACGGUACCUGACUAAGAAGCCCCGGCUAACUACGUGCCAGCAGCCGCGGUAAUACGUAGGGGGCGAGCGUUAUCCGGAUUUACUGGGUGUAAAGGGAGCGUAGACGGCAAUGCAAGCCAGAUGUGAAAGCCCGGGGCUCAACCCCGGGACUGCAUUUGGAACUGUGUAGCUGGAGUGUCGGAGAGGCAGGCGGAAUUCCUAGUGUAGCGGUGAAAUGCGUAGAUAUUAGGAGGAACACCAGUGGCGAAGGCGGAUGACUGGACGGCAACUGACGGUGAGGCGCGAAAGCGUGGGGAGCAAACAGGAUUAGAUACCCGCGUAC